rnacentral:rRNA from 1 species
CUUGGUUGAUCUUGCCAAUAGUCAUAUUCUUGUCUCAAAGAUUAAGCCAUGCAUGUGUAUGUAUGAAUUAAUUUAAAUUGUGAAAUUGUGAAUGGGUCAUUAAAUCAGUUAUAGUUUUUUUGAUGGUAUCUACUACUUAGAUAACCAUAGUAAUUCUAUAGCUGAAGCAUAUAACAAACCCUUGCUUCUAGAAGGGAUGCAUUUAUUAGAUAAAAGGUCGAUGCAACUUUGCCCUUUUCUCUAAUGAUUCAUUAUAACUAGAUGGAUCACAUGGCCUUUGUGCCAGCAAUGCAUCAUUCAAAAUUUUGCCUUAUCAACUUUUGAUGGUAGGAUAGUGGCCUACUAUGGUGGUGAUCGAUGACAGAGAAUUAAGGUUUGAUUCCAGAAAAAGAACCUGAGAAAAGGCUAACACAUCCAAGAAAGGCUGCAAGUAAAAAAUUACCCAAUCUUGACACGGGGAGGUUAUGAUAAUAAAUAACAAUACGAGGCUUUAUGAGUCUAGUAAUUGAAAUGAAUACAAUCUAAAUCCUUUAAUGAGGAUACUUUGAAGGGCAAGUCUGAUGCUAGCAGCCACAAUAAUUUUAGCUUUACUAGCAUAUAUUUAAGUUGUUGCAGUUAAAAAAUUCAUAGUUGGAACUAAGGUUGGGUCAUCUAGUCUACCUCACGGUGAGCACCAGUCUACUUGUCUUUAUAACCAACGAUGUGCUUCAAACCUUAACUAGCCAGGUCAUUCCUCUGGCAAUGCUACUUUGAAGAAAUUAAAAUGCUCGAAUUAGGCCUAUGUUUGUAUACAUUAGCAUAGGAUAACAACAUAGGAUUUUGGUGCUAUUGUGUAGGCCUUUGGGAUUAGAGUAAUGAUUAACAAGGAUAGUUAAGGGCUUUCAUAUUUUAUAGUUAGAGGUGAAAUUCUUGGAUUUACGAAAGAUGAACAACUACGAAAACAUUUGCCAAAGAUGUUUUCAUUUAUCAAGAAUGAAAGUUGAGGGCUCGAAGUUGAUCAAAUACCAUCCUAGUCUUAACUAUAAAUGAUGCCAACCAAGGAUCAACGAAUGUUACUUUUAGGACUCCGUCGACACUUUAUGAAAAAUCAAAGUUUUCAGAUUCUAGGGAGAGUAUGGUUGCAAGGCUGAAAUUUAAAAGAAUUGAUGGAAGGGCACCACCAAGAGUGGAGCUUGUAGUUUAAUUUGACUCAACACAAGGAAACUUAUUAGGUCUAGACAUAGUAAAGAUUGACAUACUGAGAGCUCUUUCUUGAUUCUAUAGGUGGUGGUGCAUGGCCGUUUUUAGUUAGUAGAGUGAUUUGUCUGCUUAAUUCUAUUAACAAAUGAGACCUUAGCCUAUUAACUAGCUACAAGGAGAUGAUCCUUCAUGGCUAGUUUCUUAAAGGGACUAUGGCUACUUAGACCAAGGAAGUUUGAGGUAAUACCAGGUCUAUGAUGCCUUUAGAUGUUUUGGGCUAAACGUGUGCUACAUUGAUAUAUUCAACGAGUUUAUAGCUUUAGCUGACAGGCCUAAGUAAUCUUUGAAAUUUCAUCAUGAUAGGCAUAGAUUAUUGCAAUUGUUAUCUUCAACGAGGAAUUUCUAGUAAGUGUGAGUCAUUAGCUUACGUUGACUACAUCUCUGCCCUUUGUACAUAUUGCAUGUCGCUCCUACCAAUUGAAUGGUUCGAUGAAGUGUUCAGAUUGCAGUAACAUCGACGGUUCAUUACCUAUGACAUCAUGAAAAGUCCACUGAACCUUAUAAUUUAGAGAAAGGUAACAAGGUUUCCAUAGGUGAACUUACAGAAG